CUCAGGGAGAUAUUCCCGUUGCACUUCUACCAUGAGAUUGAGAACCAAAAAGAGGAGGCAAUAGUAUUCCCUGUGUUGAAGCACAUCCGUCUCCACGAACUACCCAAGCUGCAGCACAUCUGCGUGCUCAACAUGAAUGCUCCCAUGCUCGAAACAGUCAAGAUCAGGGGUUGCUGGAGCCUCAAGCGCCUGCCGUCUCUUGGUGACAACACCAAGCCCCCGAAGGUGGACUGCGAGAAGGAUUGGUGGGACGGCCUAGAGUGGGAUGGGUUGGAGGCCAAGCACCACCCUUCCCUGUACGAGCCGAUCCACUCGGCCUACUACAAGAAGAAGCUGCCCAGAGUCUCCCUCCUGAGGUAG
rnacentral:rRNA from 1 species